rnacentral:rRNA from 1 species
UACGAAGGGGGCUAGCGUUGCUCGGAAUCACUGGGCGUAAAGGGUGCGUAGGCGGCUCUUUAAGUCAGGGGUGAAAUCCUGGAGCUCAACUCCAGAACUGCCUUUGAUACUGAAGAUCUUGAGUUCGGGAGAGGUGAGUGGAACUGCGAGUGUAGAGGUGAAAUUCGUAGAUAUUCGCAAGAACACCAGUGGCGAAGGCGGCUCACUGGCCCGGUACUGGCGCUGAGGCACGAAAGCGUGGGGAGCAAACAGG